UGGAUUAGUGGCGGACGGGUGAGUAACACGUGAGUAACCUGCCUCUGAGAGUGGAAUAGCUUCUGGAAACGGAUGGUAAUACCGCAUAACAUCAUGGAUUCGCAUGUUUCUAUGAUCAAAGAUUUAUCGCUUAGAGAUGGACUCGCGUCUGAUUAGCUAGUUGGUAAGGUAACGGCUUACCAAGGCGACGAUCAGUAGCCGGACUGAGAGGUUGAUCGGCCACAUUGGGACUGAGACACGGCCCAGACUCC
rnacentral:rRNA from 1 species